GACGAACGCUGGCGGCGUGCUUAACACAUGCCAGUCGAACGGAAAGGCCCUGCUUUUGUGGGGUGCUCGAGUGGCGAACGGGUGAGUAACACGGGAUUAACCUGCCCUUGACUUGGGGAUAACUUCAGGAAACUGGGGCUAAUACCGGAUAGGAGCUCCUGCUGCAUGGUGGGGGUGGGAAAGUUUCGGCGGUUGGGGAUGGACUCGCGGCUUAUCAGCUUGUUGGUGGGGUAGUGGCUUACCAAGGCUUUGACGGGUAGCCGGCCUGAGAGGGUGACCGGCCACAUUGGGACUGAGAUACGGCCCAGACUCCUACGGGAGGCAGCAGUGGGGAAUAUUGCACAAUGGGCGGAAGCCUGAUGCAGCAACGCCGCGUGCGGGAUGACGGCCUUCGGGUUGUAAACCGCUUUCGCCUGUGACGAAGCGUGAGUGACGGUAAUGGGUAAAGAAGCACCGGCUAACUACGUG
rnacentral:rRNA from 1 species